GGCUCAGUAGCAUAGUGGUUGUUGCACAGCCCCGGAUAGGUUGAGAUGCGGGUUUGAAUCCUGCCUGAGAUG
rnacentral:tRNA from 1 species